rnacentral:rRNA from 1 species
CCUACGGGUGGCUGCAGUGAGGAAUAUUGGUCAAUGGCCGUAAGGCUGAACCAGCCAAGUCGCGUGAGGGAUGACGGUUCUAUGGAUUGUAAACCUCUUUUGUCAGGGAGUAAAGGGUGCCACGCGUCCCGCUUCGCGAGUACCUUAUGAAUAAGCAUCGGCUAACUCCGUGCCAGCAGCCGCGGUAAUACGGAGGAUGCGAGCGUUAUCCGGAUUUAUUGGGUUUAAAGGGAGCGUAGGCGGCUUUUUAAGUCAGUUGUGAAAGUUUGCGGCUCAACCGUAAAAUUGCAGUUGAAACUGGCAGUCUUGAGUACAGUAGAGGUAGGCGGAAUGCGUGGUGUAGCGGUGAAAUGCUUAGAUAUCACGAAGAACUCCGAUUGCGAAGGCAGCUCACUGGACUGCGACUGACACUGAUGCUCGAAAGUGUGGGGAUCGAACAGGAUUAGAUACCCGAGUAGUC